rnacentral:ncRNA from 1 species
ACACAACGAGCGGGGUUAUGACAGUGGCGAACAGCGCGGAGUGACCGGUACAUACACCAUGACUUUAUCAAUCAUGGCGAUGCGCGGAUCACCCAGACUGCUCAACACUGGAACCACCUAACCGCCGCAAUUUUUUUCGCUGAGAGUAAACCCGUCGAACCUGAUCCGGUUAACCCCGGCGGAGGGAUUUGAGAAUGAUAACGA